rnacentral:tRNA from 1 species
UCCGCAGUAGCUCAGUGGUAGAGCUAUCGGCUGUUAACCGAUCGGUCGUAGGUUCGAGCCUACCUGCGGAC